ACUACGGGAGGCAGCAGUGGGGAAUAUUGCACAAUGGGGGAAACCCUGAUGCAGCGACGCCGCGUGAGCGAUGAAGUAUUUCGGUAUGUAAAGCUCUAUCAGCAGGGAAGAAAAUGACGGUACCUGACUAAGAAGCCCCGUCUAACUACGUGCCAGCAGCCGCGGUACUACGUAGGGGGCACGCGUGAUCCGGAUUUACUGGGUGUAAUGGGAGAGUAGACGGCUGUGCAAGCCAGAUGUGAAAGCCUGGGGCUAAACCCCGGGACUGCAUUUGAAACUGUGCUGCUAGAGUGUCGGAGAGGCAGGCGGAAUUCCUAGUGUAGCGGUGAAAUGCGUAGAUAGUAGGAGGAACACCAGUGGCGAAGGCGGCCUGCUGGACGAUGACUGACGUUGAGGCUCGAAAGCGUGGGGAGCAAACAGGAUUAGAUACCCUUGUAGUC
rnacentral:rRNA from 1 species